rnacentral:rRNA from 1 species
CCUACGGGCGGCAGCAGUGGGGAAUAUUGGACAAUGGGGGGAACCCUGAUCCAGCCAUGCCGCGUGUGUGAAGAAGGCCCUCGGGUUGUAAAGCACUUUCAGUGAGGAAGAACGCCUGGUGGUUAAUACCCAUCAGGAAAGACAUCACUCACAGAAGAAGCACCGGCUAACUCCGUGCCAGCAGCCGCGGUAAUACGGAGGGUGCGAGCGUUAAUCGGAAUUACUGGGCGUAAAGCGCGCGUAGGUGGCUUGAUAAGCCGGUUGUGAAAGCCCCGGGCUCAACCUGGGAACGGCAUCCGGAACUGGCAAGCUAGAGUGCAGGAGAGGAAGGUAGAAUUCCCGGUGUAGCGGUGAAAUGCGUAGAGAUCGGGAGGAAUACCAGUGGCGAAGGCGGCCUUCUGGACUGACACUGACACUGAGGUGCGAAAGCGUGGGUAGCAAACAGGAUUAGAUACCCCUGUAGUC